UACGUAGGGCGCAAGCGUUAUCCGGAAUUAUUGGGCGUAAAGAGCUCGUAGGCGGUUUGUCGCGUCUGCCGUGAAAGUCCGGGGCUCAACUCCGGAUCUGCGGUGGGUACGGGCAGACUAGAGUGAUGUAGGGGAGACUGGAAUUCCUGGUGUAGCGGUGAAAUGCGCAGACUAUCAGGAGGAACACCGAUGGCGAAGGCAGGUCUCU
rnacentral:rRNA from 1 species